GGAGGGAUGGCAGAGCGGUUGAUUGCACCGGUCUUGAAAACCGGCAAGGGUUCACGCCCUUCCAGAGUUCGAAUCUCUGUCCCUCCG
rnacentral:tRNA from 1 species